AUAGUCAGCUUGUUCUUGUAUUAUCACAUUAUUCUUGUAAAUUUCUUUUUUCUUAGUGUAGCCUUAAUAUUCUGUCCUAUGCAAGCGCUUCGAAGUCGUGCAAGAAAAAUAAUUGGCUGAUGGAGUCACGUGUAUGGAGCAAAAACAGUCUCAUAACUCACAAACACACAAACCAAGAACCACAAAUGCACAGAACAAGAUACACACUUGUAUUUUGAUGCAAACACAGAUAUUUCUUGAGUUACAAUCUGCUUGUGGCCUGUGGGUUGUGCUGCAUUUGCAUGUGAAUUUUGAGACUCCCCUGAUGUUCACACACAAAUGCACAGAACAAGAUGCACAAAACCAAGGUCUCAAAAUUCACACAUAAAUGCAGCACAACCGACAAGGCAAAUCAAGAAAUAAUCGGGCUGCAUCAGAAAUACAAACGUGGAUAUUUUUCUGUGCAUUUGUGAAUUAUGAGACUGUUUCAGCUCCAUACACGUGACACGAGUCAAGGUUCAGCUCCAUCAGCGCGAGCGCGUCUUUCGUCACGUAGCGUAGCCAACGGCUUCUUUGCUAGCUUAGUUUUCACCGACAAAUGAAACGGGGAAAAUGACGGAUAUUUUAUCAGGAUGGUUUCACCUAAAGGCGGAAACCGGACUCCCGAACCUCCAGUUGAAUUUAAAAUUUCUCCGGAGUCCUAAAAGUGGAUCUUGGUGCUGCUUUUAUAAAGCGGGAGUCUUUUUCGGCGUUGUUAGCCUCUGAUUCAGCUAGCAAGACCCGCUCUGGAGACUGUAAUAUCGCGGCUCCUGCUUUAUUGUUUUGUCCUGUUUGAUGGCACUUUUUUGGGGAAGCGUUUUUACUUUAAAAGUCUAAAAUAUUUAACCCGUAAAUGCCAAGACUUUUGUAAUUAUGGGAUUAUUGUGUGUGCCUUCUUCAACGAUGUCUUGAACAAGAUGGUUGCCUUGAGAAAUUAUGAAUCUAUUGUACACCGCAUCAGCUGUCCAUGCCGAGAGGUUUUCCCUGAUUCUUCCCAUCUUUAAAACCCUUUUUGAUUCAACAUUACUUGGAGCCAUGGGAGUGUGAGAUCUUUGCAUCGGCGGAUGUUGCAGAGAUGGCUUCAUCCACAUGAGGACACAGGAAGCCGACAGUUGGAGGUGAGAGGAAACCACGUCCCCCAUGGCGACAGCGUUUCCCAGCGGUGCUAACUCCCAGGCUGAACCUCCAAGACUCCGGCGCUCUGCAGGGAAUCUGCUUCAGGCUCCCAGUCCGGCCGGUGCUGCUGUGGCUCCCCUCCUGUUUGGCUCCAGAAAACCCCAGAGAGGGAGGAAGACGAGGAGGAGGAAGAGGAGGAGGAGGUGAACACUGCUCCCUUUCACAGCGAGGCAGCAGGACACACCCUCUGGGAGUCAUCACUGGUCCAACGUGUUCAGUCGGCCGUGCCAAAGGUGUGGCCUGGAGUUUGUGUUUACUUGUUUGGCGUUAUUGGAAACGUAGAAACAUUUUGUAUUUUCUCUGGUUUUACAGCUUCACUGAUUAGCAGCCAUGAUUGGAUCCAUCAGCUCUGAUUUUAGGCUGAAACAUUUAGUUAAUGUGGUGCUGAAGUUUCCCUUUGUGCUCAAACUGAAAGCAUACCUGCUGAUGGGGUCAUGAAAACGGGUUUAUGCUGCCCCCUUGUGGCGGCGCUCAGAACUACAGGUUAAAAUUUACAAAGAUUGUUUCUAAUGUUGGCUAAUAGUAACAAAAAACUACGCAAAUAAGAGUAGUACUACUUCAGCAUAUUUUUACUCAAGUAAAAAGGCAUUUGGAGAACAUCUACUGAAGUACUCAGUCACUGAUCAAAUUAUCAAUCAUUUUAAAAAUUACAUCAUCAGAUGGACCAAAAUGGAAAAUUAAAUGGAAAUUUUGGUAUUUUAAGAACAAAAAUGACAAUAUUUCAUCUAAGGAACAAACAAUAACUAAGGUAAAAUAAAAUGUUUCCAAAUCCGUUUCUUUCAAUAAAAAACUCCAGCUGU